AUGGCGAUCAUGAUUUCGCCAUGUGGUGUGCUUCAUAGUUCAUUAUAAUAAUGGAGGUUCGUCUGAAUUGUUCGGUUUCUUUUUCCUAGCGCUAGUGAAAGAAUUCAAGUAUAUUAUUAAUGAAUAAUGACUCUGUGAUGCCUGGUAUCGUCUUGGCUGAUGUAUACAUAUAAUAUCUGCCGUAAUAGACCUACACUUAGUAUGGCCUUGGGAUUUAGAACUGGCUGUCGACCUGUCGACUUAGGAUGAAGAUAAAGAAACGUACAUCAGAGAUGAACACGACGCUUAGACUUUGAUUUUUGAUCAUCUAUAAAGCUUGAUUUUGGGGAAUUAUUGAGAAAAAUUGCUUUUGAAGUAACAUGGGUUAACAGACCGAUUUUAAAAGUCACAACAGAGAGGCAUCCCCUGAAAUGAUCACCAAGGAUAGUUAAUGUUGAUUAUUGCCCUGGAAAUGAUUAUGCUCUUAGAUUUAACAUUUACAAAAACAAUUGUGUACUGAUUGCUUAGUUACUUGCUUGGAUACUUUGAGGGAACUUUAACAGUAACCGUUGCUCAGGAUUCAUGUUUACCAAAGAAACUCGCAAUAACUCGGGGACAUUUCAUGCUCCUACGAUCAGGAUACAACAGUUUCCUGACCAUUCACAGACAAGAGCAUCAGGAGUUCAAGCUGAAGCAAUCCACAAUUCCCUCUUACUACCACAUGGGGGAAGAACUAGACACCAAAAUGUUGUAAUUUUUCAUAGAGCUGUGAAUAUGGACUAAAUAUGGACUAAAUUGCUCAUUAUACAAUACAAAAUAAAGUUGUUAUUGUUCAGUUAAAA